CCGUCGACCGCCAACCGAACUCAUCCAUAGGCCGACCUUCCGCUCAGCAGGAGCAUCCUCUGCUCGCGCUGCACCGUCGGUUGGUGGCGCUGGACCCGCGGUAGCAAGGCGUCGGUUGUCUCCGCCGCCUGCACCAGCCGCUGUCACUCGUCCCGGUUGGCCAGCACCAUCCCACUUCACCCUCUCCAAGCACAGCGCGAUUAGGCCUUACGCAUCCACUCCGGCAAUCGUCUCGGUUGCGCCACUUCACCUCAAUUUCGCAAAUUAACUUCAAAGCGGCGCUCGAUCACAGAUGAAUCUCAGGUGAUUUCAUUCAUUGGUAAGAGGGACUAUGCAGGUAGUAGUGCAUUUUUGGGCACAUAUUGUUGCAAUCUCGUAGUUGCACAUGAGAUUUCUUCCAAUCGGCUUCACAUACAUGGGAUUUCUUCCAAUCGGCUUCACAUACAUGGGAUUUAUGCUCUCUCCCUCUCCCUGCAGGGAUGAUGGGAGCGAUUCAGCAGCCGACGCCUAUGCCAACCAACUAGUUGCAGGAGACGAACAGGAGCCCUACGAUGUGCUGUGAAGCCCCGGACCUGUCCAGAUCCCACACGCACACCUCGUGCAGAGCGCCUCUGUCCAGAUGCUGAGGGCAGGAUAUCUUCUUGCUAAGAUCCAGGUGCUCUUUCCUAAUGAAUCAGUACCAAUCAUUCUUGUUCAUAUGAUCAGGACAAUUGGUCCAAUUGACAUGGAAAUGCUUGCGUUGGGACAGGAGACACAGAAGUACUUCACAGAUGAUUAUGACCUUUUCCACAAAAAAAUGAGGAGACAGGACAAUUGGAAUAUUUGAUCCCAGAGAAUCAUCUUUGCGGCACCACUUGCAAUGCCCCGACAAGAAGUUUGUUGAUUUUCUGUCGUACCUGCUGCAAAUAAAUCCCAGAAAGAGACCAACGGCCAUUGAAGCAUUGCAACACCGAUGGCUUUCAGUAGUAUAUUGCUGAGCUUGCCAAUCAAGCUCUUUCGUCACAAAUUGGGACAGUGUCUGAAGUCACUCCUCUUUCCUCAUGGGUAGGAUCAGUUUCUGAAGUUACUUGGCUCAUGAAACAACACCCUUCCAUUGGAGCAGGAUUUGGCUUCGUGGGGUCAAUCCUUGGCAGUGAAAUCCUGUUUUGCAAUGUGAAUUGAUCGUGGAUACACGCUAGUUCGUGCAUGUAAAUAUGAGAAAAGUUACCUAUUAUAUAUGUACAGUUGCGAUGUACAACGAUGUAAUUUAUCCAACUAUAGCCAAUUAAAUUGUUAUGUUUCUGUAUUUCUUGAUCUGGCAUUACUCUGAUUUAAUUUCUUUGUUCUUGAGUUAA